rnacentral:rRNA from 1 species
AUGAGGGGAUCCCAAGUGCUAGCUCGUAAGAGUUAGCUGUUUCUUUGUCUAAAAAACAGAGAGAGUAAGAGCUGGGUAAGACGGGUGCCAGCCGCCGCGGUAAUACCUGCAGCUCAAGUGGUGGCCGCUAUUAUUGGGCCUAAAACGUUCGUAGCCGGUUUAGUAAAUGCUUGGGUAAAUUGUGUCGCUUAACGAUACGAAUACCGGGUAGACUGCUAAACUUGGGACCGGGAGAGGUUAGAGGUACUCCUGGGGUAGAGGUGAAAUUCUGUAAUCCUGGGGGGACCACCAGUGGCGAAGGCGUCUAACCAGAACGGGUCUGACGGUGAGGGACGAAGCCCUGGGGCGCAAACCGGAUUAGAUACCCGGGUAGUCCAGGGUGUAAACGCUGCUCGCUUGAUGUUAGCUGGGCUCCGAGCCCACCUAGUGUCGGAGAGAAGUCGUUAAGCGAGCUGCCUGGGAAGUACGGUCGCAAGACUGAUGAGGGGAUAUGAGGGGAUGGGAGCACA